rnacentral:lncRNA from 1 species
UCGGCCCGAGAGAGCUUAGUCGUUCAGGCCUGGGACCGACCCACCACUCCUCCCACCACACCUACCCUGGGACCCUUGCUCAACCUCUCCGGUGCCCUUGUGUCUUUCAGGGGGCCGUGCUGUCCGGGCCCUCGGCCCCGCCUCAACUAAGUUUGGGGGCUGCGCUGUCCAGGCUCUCACCCCCUCCUCAACUAAGUUUGGUGAGUUGAUGCCACGAGGCGAGUCGAAGUCCAGGGGACCAAGGGGCCUUCGGGAGGCAAGCCUGAGGGUGAUUUGGGUCCCUGUGUGCAGGCCCACCUGUGCAGGGACACAUAACAUUGCUGCCUUUGAAGGCCUCCCAUCCCUAAGGUGCAGGGAAGAAUGGGCCCAAAUGUAGCCAGGGUAGCCCAGUGGGACCCCAGUGUGCACAGCUGGGGGGCAACUGCAGGCCACGGGAG